CCUACGGGCGGCAGCAGUGGGGAAUAUUGCACAAUGGGGGAAACCCUGAUGCAGCGACGCCGCGUGAGCGAAGAAGUAUUUCGGUAUGUAAACUUCUAUCAGCAGGGAAGAAAAUGACGGUACCUGACUAAGAAGCCCCGGCUAACUACGUGCCAGCAGCCGCGGUAAUACGUAGGGGGCAAGCGUUAUCCGGAUUUACUGGGUGUAAAGGGAGCGUAGGCGGGUUAGCAAGUCAGAAGUGAAAGCCCGGGGCUCAACUCCGGGACUGCUUUUGAAACUGUUGAGCUGGAGUGUAGGAGAGGCAAGUGGAAUUCCUAGUGUAGCGGUGAAAUGCGUAGAUAUUAGGAGGAACACCAGUGGCGAAGGCGGCUUACUGGACUGUAAAUGACGCUGAGGCUCGAAAGCGUGGGGAGCAAACAGGAUUAGAUACCCCAGUAGUC
rnacentral:rRNA from 1 species